GAUGAACGCUGGCGGCGUGCUUAACACAUGCAAGUCGAACGGGAAAUAUUUCAUUGAGACUUCGGUGGAUUUGAUUUAUUUCUAGUGGCGGCCGGGUGAGUAACGCGUGGGUAACCUGCCUUAUACAGGGGGAUAACAGUCAGAAAUGGCUGCUAAUACCGCAUAAGCGCACAGAGCUGCAUGGCUCAGUGGGAAAAACUCCGGUGGUAUAAGAUGGACCCGCGUUGGAUUAGCUAGUUGGUGGGGUAACGGCCCACCAAGGCGACGAUCCAUAGCCGGCCUGAGAGGGUGAACGGCCACAUUUGGACUGAGACACGGCCCAGACUCCUACGGGAGGCAGCAGUGGGGAAUAUUGCACAAUGGGGGAAACCCUGAUGCAGCGACGCCGCGUGAAGGAAGAAGUAUCUCGGUAUGUAAACUUCUAUCAGCAGGGAAGAUAGUGACGGUACCUGACUAAGAAGCCCCGGCUAACUACGUG
rnacentral:rRNA from 1 species